rnacentral:snRNA from 1 species
CGACAUCCACAUUAAGAAC